rnacentral:rRNA from 1 species
CAGUAGCCGCGGGAAUACGGGGGGGGCAAGUGUUAUUCGGAAUGACUGGGCGUAAAGGGCACGUAGGCGGUGAAAAGGGUGGAAAGUGAAAGUCGCCAAAACACUGGCGGGGUGCUUUCUUGACCAUUUCACUUGAGUGAGAUAGGGGAGAGUGGAAUUUCGUGUGGAGGGAUCAAAUCCUAAGAUAUACGAAGGAACGCCAACCGCGAAGGCAGCUCUCUGGGUCCCCACUGACGCUGGGGUGCGAAAGCAUGGGGAGCAAACAGGAUCAGAUACCCCAGUAGUCCCUGUCUCUUAUACA